GUAUUUUCAAUCUAUUACGAACGGCAAGCACAUGACCAGAAUUAUUAGCUGGUCUAUUACUUCCAUCGCUCAAAGAAUUUUUAAUCCGUUGAUUUCAAAUCUGGUACUUCAAUUUUUUUAACAUGCAUUUUACUAUA